rnacentral:lncRNA from 1 species
AUGGGCCGGGGAAGUGCAGGGUCAUGGGGGCUUUGGGGCUGUUGCCCUCCCGGCCCCGUGCCGGAGGCAGCCUCCCGCCGCGCAUCCCCGGACCCUGCCAGGCUGGGAGACGCCAGCCCGCGCGCCCGGACCGGAGCCACAGGCCCUUCCUCGGCCCUGACCUUGCAUGGGCAACGCGUGCUGCUGCUGCUCGCCAGCCCUGAUUUCACUGCCGAAAAGGGAACUCUCUGUAACGUGGAUUUUUCUUUUUUUCCUUUUUUUUUUUUUUUUCCACUGCUAAUAUCUCUCCAGCCCUGGAUAAGCCAUCAGAGAGGGGGUGUGAAACAGCCCGGAGCUCCUGCGCCUUGGCCGGCUCCCAGCGACGCAGGUGUGCUGGCCCCCGACCAGCCCUCGUCCGCGAAGAGCGCUGGAGCGAGCGGGCGCGCAGCCGCCGGGGCACGGGACACGGGGUGCGGGAAACCACGCGCGGUCCGGGCACGCGCCCACACGGGCUUGCAAAUCUGCAUCUUUGUUGGCUAUAGAGGCACCCGGGGGGCUUGGAGAGGGUUCGGGAAGCACGCGCAGCCCGCGGGGAGCGGUUACUUCCACGGACGUCCCCGCCGCCUUCACCAGCGCCCGCUGGGAUUUGAGGGCUCGGUUCCUGGCCCUGGCAGCGCCGAGCGGUUUUAUGCCGAGCGCGUUUCCGCAAAGCGGCCCGGCUCCGGCCGGAAGGCGGCGGGUCCCUGCGUGCCGCGGCUGGAGGAGCUCGUGUCAGCGGAGCAGUUGUUUAUGAGCUGCUGCCUUUGGCCGCGUGCUCUCGCGUUCGCUAGCCGCGAGGCUGGGCUGCCCGCGCCRCUCCCGCGGCCCCCGGUGCGUUUCCCGGCUGGGGAGCAGGAGUGCCGCGCGGGAGGAAGGACUGACGAGCCCGGCGGCUCCUGGGGCCCGGCUCCGCAGGCUGAAACACGGGAGGCCUGGGGGAUUCGCAGACACUUUUUCAAGCAUCUGGCACUUGAAUAUUUAUGA